rnacentral:rRNA from 1 species
UACAGAGGGUGCGAGCGUUGUCCGGAAUCACUGGGCGUAAAGGGCGCGUAGGCGGUCCAGUAAGCGUGUGGUGAAAGCCCGGGGCUCAACCCCGGGUCGGCCGUGCGAACUGCUGUGACUCGAGCACUGUAGAGGCAGGCGGAAUUCCGGGUGUAGCGGUGGAAUGCGUAGAGAUCCGGAAGAACACCGGUGGCGAAGGCGGCCUGCUGGGCAGUAUAGCUGACGCUGAGGCGCGACAGCGUGGGGAGCAAACAGG